ACGGAAUCUGUCGAAAUUUCUAGAAAGCCUAAUAUGCUUAACCUACUAGGUUUCUAACGGUCUGCAGUUCCUACAGUGUAAAUAACCCUUGAUAAACAAAAGUGUUUAUGGGCUAAUCGAGAAUUCGCCAUUCCUCUAGGAAUACUUAGUACUGUGUCCAAACAUAAAGGCGAUAUUCUGCCUUUAAAAAAAAAAAGUCACAUCUCCUGGCAGUCUUUUAUGUUGGGAGUUUGUUUCCACCCGGACACGAAUGGAAGAGCACCAGAGCACUCCCGUUCCGGUCGGGGGGGGGGGGGUUGGAUCUUUGCGCGCAUGCGUGCUGACGCUCAAGGGCGGGUUUUCGGGGAAGACGGUAUUGACCCGCGAACAACCGAAGCUGUUAUUCUAUCAAAAUCAAGACGGCGUGUGUGCCGGACUCUGUGGAGACUCUGAAGACUAAGUUGAGGUGUCCGAAAUUGCGUCCUGACUCGUAGAAAGAAAUCUACUAAGCUCUUAUGAGGGUGGUGUUUUAAAAAACACGAUUUUAACGUUGCCUGCUCGUCUGGGUCUCCUUAACAAAUCCUAACCCCGCCUCCACGUCUGUUGGGGUUUUCAGCUGCAGCUCUGGGUUUGGAGGAGUGCGUUUUUAUUACGGUUCCCGUGGCUUCUCUUUUGCUCUUGGCAUAAUUCCUUUGAAAUUUAUUUCUUCGAUGCAUUAACAGACUCAGUGGGAUCAAGACUUUUUGUUUUGUUUUGUUUUUUGUUUUUGUCGUAUUUAGCCCUGGAUUAAAUGUCAAAAUCGAAAUUUACAGCUUUAUGGAUAUUUUGCCUAUAGACUUUCUAAGUUAAUGACUGCUUCAUAAUUAUUUUUGGAACUCAGGUGUUUUUCAAAUUCACUUCCACCAUUACUUCUUUUCCUGGUACUCAAGGAGAAACUGCGUCCUUAAGUUUUGAGAAGCUAGAAUUCCCUCUGUUAAGAACGGCGGGACUUGAUUUGUGACUAACCAGAUGAAAAACGUUGAGUUUAGCCUGGAAAGGGGGCAAAGGCUUAAAAUGCCAGCGAGGAAACUGCGAGAGAUUGUUUCUCCAAACCAAGGGAAUAAAUUGGCUGUGGUGGAAGAUGAGCUGCCCCGUGUUCCUCCAGCCCUGGCUGCAAAUAAACGUCUUGCUGUUGAAACGAGGACUAGUUCUAAUGGAACGUUAUGUGGCUCCUUGGAUUUAACUUCUGCAAGACUGUAUCACCAGCCUCUGUUAGAAAGUCCUCCUGCGUCCAAGAAAAGUGAUUUUUCUAAAGAUGCUGUAGUUCGGCAGUUACCUUUGAAUAAAACAGAAGAGAACAACGCACCAAAAGCAAAUGACAUCUUUAUUUCUCAGUACACCAUGGGACAGAAAGAUGCUCUGAGAACUGUUUUAAAGCAAAAAGCUCAAAGCAUGCCUGUUUUUAAGGCGGUGAAAGUACAUCUUUUUGAAGACACGAGUACAGAAAAGAAUACUGUUGCUCAGGAGACUGAAACUCCACCCAAUAGAAUUGAUUCAGCUACAACUGUGGCUGCGGCAACUGCCGCUGCCAUCGCAACAGCAGCUCCUUUGAUCAAGGUACAGAGUGAUUUGGAGGCAAAGGUUAAUUGUGUUGGAGAGUUACUUACUAAGUUACAGGAGACUGAUAAACAGUUACAGCGCGUGACAGAGCACCAAGCCAGCGUUCAGAGUAAGCAAGAGAAAGUGCACUGUCAUGACCACGACAAGCAGAUGAACGCGUUCAUGGAGCAGCAUAUCAGGCACCUUGAAAAACUACAGCAACAGCAGAUAGACAUUCAGACCCAUUUUAUUGAUGCUGCACUCAAGGCUAGCAGUCUUCAACUUGGCAUGUCCACGUCCAGAGCAGUGGGGAAGUAUUCUGGAAAACUGGGAAGCCCUAGUGUUGGGAGCAGUGUUUUUUCACACAACACAUUUGUUUCUAAACGAGUGCCUUUAAGUGAAGACACAGAUUUUGAUGGGCAGAAAUCUCCUUUAGAGACCCCAGCACCUCGCAGGUUUGCCCCUGUACCUGUUUCAAGGGAUGGAAAAAUAACAAAAAGGGAAAGCCCUACAGAAGAAAAAGAAAAUAUGGAAAUGAACAGUCCUAAAGGAAAUGUAAGACUGUUGGAACAAGUACUGAAUAGUAAUGAGUGUUUGACAAGAAAGACUGAAUCAUCAGAUAUAACCUCACUAACUCAGCCAAAAAUGGGAUGGAAUUUAGAGAAAAGAGACAGCACUGAAACUCUACAUUCACAAAUAUUUCCUUCCUCUGAAGAGCGGGGAACAGCUCAAGUACCCGUGCCGAAGUAUAAUGAUGUUGUUCAUGAUCUUGGCCAGAAGAAACAAGCAAGUGACAUGCUCCAGAUAAAGCAAUCUCCAGUUACCUUGAGGCUUUCAGAUCAUCCGCAUAAUCCUGCCUUGCUCCAGACAACCAAUACAAGGUCUGUCUUGAAAGAUGCUGCGAAGAUUCUGAGAGGAGUACAAAACAAUAAAAAAGUACUAGAAGAAAACCUGGAAGCUAUCGUUCGUGCAAAGGAUGGAGCUGCUAUGUAUUCAUUUAUCAAUGCUUUAGCUACCAAUAGAGAGAUGUCAGAGAAAAUUAGGAUCAGAAAGCAGGUAGAUGAAUGGAUUAAAAUCAUUUCAGCAGAAAUCCAGGAUGAACUUAUGAGAAAAGAUUAUGAACAAAAGAGAUUUGAUCCAAAGAAUCAAAGAAACAAGAAAGCUCUAACUAUGAGUAGAGAUAUUAAAGCCAAUAACCAAGAAAAAACGGUGAACAGAUCUGUAAUUCCAAGAAGCCAUUAUCAAAAGCAAACCCAGGAGCAGUUUACAAGUCCACCUGUGAGGAACUUGCCUGCCUCCGGCCCGCAGAAAGAGAGGAGUGGCCUCUUGAAGUCAGCCACAACGUUGCAAGACGAGGAUUAUAUGUUACAGAUAUAUGGGAAGCCAGUUUAUCAGGGCCACCGCAGCACUCUUAAGAAAGGACCGUAUCUCAGAUUCAGUUCUCCGUCUCCUAAGGCCAAGCCACAGAGGCCAAGGGUGAUAGAGCUAGUGAAAGGCACUAAAGUCAAGUCAGCAAAAACACAAACUGACUUUCAUGCUGCAUCACGUAUGAAAAUGGAUUCUAAAAUACAGCAUCCCAUCACCGCACUACCUCAUGCUGAUCAGCAGUAUAUGGUCAGCCCAAGCAGAGAAAUGCCUACUGUUUCAGGUACCCUGGAAGGUCAUCUAAUUCCUAUGGCAAUCCUCUUAGGACAAACCCAAAGCAAUAGUGACUCCAUGCCACCUGCUGGAGUCACUGUAAACAAGCCACGCCCCGUGACUGUGACCACUUCUAUUCCUCCGGCAUCUCGAAAAGGGAACGCUGGAGUCAAGAAACCCAACGUAGCCAUUGUAGAGAUGAAAUCAGAGAAGAAGGACCCUCCCCAGCUCUCUGUACAGAUAUUACCUAGUGUGGAUAUUGAUAGCGUUUCAUACAGCAGUACUGACGGGGCUUCCUCUCCACCAAGUCCCAAAGAAGCCUCUCUUCCUCCACUGCACACCUGGAUCCAGACUCCAGACUUUAUGAAGGUGGAUGAAGAAGAGGUGCCCCUUCCAGGAACUAACUUUGAUGAAGUAAUCGAUGUUAUUCAGGAAGAAGAAAAACGUGAUGAAAUUCCUGAAUGCUCUGCACCAAUGUUGGAGUUUAACAGAAGUGUUAAAGUUGUUCCUACAAAAUAUAAUGGUCCUUCAUUUCCUCCUGUAGUUUCUGCUUACCAUCCCACUACUGAUAUUUUAGAUAAAGUAAUUGAGAGAAAAGAAACAUUGGAAAAUAGUUUAAUUCAGUGUUGCAGGAACAAGCAGUGGAGCGCUCCAGCGUAUGGUUGAUGCCAGAGUUCCUGUGAACUCGGACAUGGUCAGCCAUUUUGUCAAUGAAGCUCUGACUGAGACCAUUGCUGUCAUGUUAGCUGACAGAGAAGCAGAGAGGCAAAGGGCUGCUGCCACAAGUGUUCCUGGUGAUCUUUCAGGAACUGAAACUAACCUGUUGGCAAGAGUUUGUGCUCCAGUAGCGACGCCGCAGCCCACUCCCCCCUGCUCACCAUCACCUGUGAGGGAGCACGUGCGAGUGAAAACGCCAGACUCUUCUCCCUGUGAAUCCGAUCCAGAUGCGGCUUCUUCUAUAAAAGAGAUACGCGUUGAAAAAGGAAGUGAUAUGCCUGCUGUCAUGCUUGUUAGUACACCAACACGCACUCCUGUCGCUACCCCUCCUCCAGCAGCAGCUCUUACCCCAACUUUGUCCGAAACUUCCAUUGACAAGUUGAAGUUAUCAAGCCCUGAACUUCCCAAGCCAUGGGACAGUGGAGACCUGCCACUGGAUGAAGAGAAUCCUAACUCUCUUCAAGAGCUUCCUCACCCAAGAGCGGUUGUAAUGUCUGUGGCUAAUGAAGAACCUGAGAGUGUGGACUUUUCUGCUCAGCCUGCACCUCCGGAGCCAGCUCCCUCAGCACCACUUCCUGAGGGCACCAAGGCCCCUUCCCUCCAGCGAGUACCAAGUUCAGGUUCAUCCACCCUGGAGAACACUCUGAGCACUGUCACUGAAACAGAAACGCUAGACAGGCAUAUAUCUGAAGGGGAGAUCUUAUUUAGCUGUGGUCAAAACUUGGCUACCAAGAGACCUGGGGACUUGUUUCUGAUGAACAUAAAUGACAGCUUAUCCAGCACUCUGCAGGAUGCCCUUGAAAUGGAAGAUGACCCUCCCAGUGAAGGGCAGGUGAUUAGGAGGCCCCACAAAAAGCGUCAUGAAGAUGCCAUCGUUGCCCUUCUUACUAAGCAACAACGGGAGUUAUUAGUUUCACAGCAAGAGGAGGACUUGGAUAACAGCGUGGGUGAGCUUAGUGAAGGACAGAGGCUCGUGCUGAAAGCAGCAGAGGACAUCUCAGCAGGACCGUCCGGCCAAAUGCUGCCGCCCACUUCUCCUGCAGAGCCCUCCUAUCAGCACGCAGACCCUCGGCUGGUAUUGCAGCAGUCUGACAUGGCCUCAGGUAAUAUUUGUGAAGAUUUAUGUGCCAGUCAUGGUCCAAUGAGCUUAAGGGAGCUGGAGUUGCAGCCUGAUUCUAACCUUAUUCUUCCCAUAACACACACUACAACAGCAGUCAGCGAUGGUAAUUUACCAGAAGCAGCUGAAGAUUUUUCUCAGUACCAACAAAAGCAAGAUUCAGACAUUAAACAAGUUGAACACAAGCCAAUACAAAGACAUCUAACCAGUGUAAGAAAUAAACCUGACAGUACACUUUCACAGCAUCAAGGUGGCCCGGCAGAUCUGCUCCUCAUUGCACAUGUGUCACCCGCCAGGAUGUCUGUGACUCUACCCUCUGCGAACCUUGAGGACUGCUCUCAGUCCCUGAGCACCAGCUCCAUGCAUGGCGGCACCGAAUCCUCAGGGACAGACACCUUCUGAGCAGGAGGAGAGCAGCACAAGGUUCAUGAAGACUCAUGAAGGCUUACAAGGUUCAUGAAGACAUGUCACUCUGGCUGCAGACCAUGUCUGUAUACUGUUGGCCUUUGAACAUAUUUUUAGGGGAAAUAUUUCUAAUAUAUUAUUAAGACAAAAGUGUCCUUUGAAUAUUUAGUAAGGCUUUUAAAUAAAGUAGAUAUAACUCAACUAA